rnacentral:sRNA from 1 species
CCACAGCCGUAACUCGCGUUAGGGAUUGCAACGGCAUCCUUUUUUAAAGAUUAAGAAAAUAGUAUUGGUUUGGUUUACGUUUUAGUAGGUGGUCUAAACCCGUUUAAAGUAGCUCUGCUAAAAAAAAGAUAUAGUGUAAAGCCCGACCCUUG